GGAAUCUUGCGCAAUGGACGGAAGUCUGACGCAGCGACGCCGCGUGGGUGAAGACGGCCUUCGGGUUGUAAAGCCCUUUUCUGGAGGAAGAGGGAGGACGGUACUCCAGGAAUAAGUGUCGGCUAACUACGUGCCAGCAGCCGCGGUAAUACGUAGGACACGAGCGUUAUCCGGAUUUACUGGGCGUAAAGCGCCUGUAGGCGGUUCUUCAAGUCGUUUGUGAAAGCCCUGGGCUCAACCUGGGGAGGCCAAGCGAUACUGGAGGACUUGAGGGUGACAGAGGGGAGUGGAAUUUCCGGUGUAGCGGUAAAAUGCGCAGAUAUCGGGAGGAACACCAGUGGCGAAGGCGGCUCCCUGGGUCACACCAGACGCUGAGAGGCGAAAGCUAGGGGAGCGAAC
rnacentral:rRNA from 1 species